UACAGAGGUCUCAAGCGUUGUUCGGAUUCAUUGGGCGUAAAGGGUGCGUAGGUGGCGCUGUAAGUCGGGUGUGAAAUUUCGGAGCUUAACUCCGAAACUGCAUUCGAUACUGCGGUGCUUGAGGACUGGAGAGGAGACUGGAAUUCAUGGUGUAGCAGUGAAAUGCGUAGAGAUCAUGAGGAAGACCAGUGGCGAAGGCGGGUCUCUGGACAUUUCCUAACGCUGGAGGCACGAAAGCCAGGGAGCAAACGGG
rnacentral:rRNA from 1 species